rnacentral:rRNA from 1 species
GGAAAAGAAACUAACAAGGAUUCCCCUAGUAACGGCGAGUGAAGCGGGAAGAGCUCAAAUUUGAAAUCUGGUAGCCUUCGGUUGCCCGAGUUGUAAUCUAGAGAAGUGUUUUCCGUGCCGGCCCAUGUACAAGUCCCUUGGAACAGGGCGUCAUAGAGGGUGAGAAUCCCGUCCUUGACAUGGACCCCCGGUGCUUUGUGAUACACUUUCAACGAGUCGAGUUGUUUGGGAAUGCAGCUCAAAAUGGGUGGUGAAUUCCAUCUAAAGCUAAAUAUUGGCGAGAGACCGAUAGCGAACAAGUACCGUGAGGGAAAGAUGAAAAGCACUUUGGAAAGAGAGUUAAACAGUACGUGAAAUUGUUGAAAGGGAAACGAUUGAAGUCAGUCAUGCUCUUGGGACUUACCUCCCUUGAGUGGGGUCAACAUCAGUUUUGAUCGAUGGAUAAAGGCACUAGGAAGGUAGCAC